rnacentral:lncRNA from 1 species
CGGCACAAGGCAGACGGUGUGGUCAUGCACGGUAACUGCACUACCGAAAGGUUUAUUUUACAUGUUUUAAGCGCCUGGCUGGAGAUGGGAACAAGCUGCAAAGGCAAAGGGACUGCAGCUGCACUGAUGCAGGAUGUCCAGCAGAGGGCGCUGCCGGUCAGAGCUGAGAGAAACAGGAUCUCGUGGAGGAAUGGAGCUGCGUCCCUCCAGGAGAGCGCCUGUGACGCAUUGCAUGCUGGGAUUUUACAAAAACUUGUAACCAGCAACAGAUGAAGAGGAAAACAAAAUGAACUUUAUUUUUUACAAAAGAAACUGCCAUAAGUUCACCAAACCUGUGAGAGUCUGGAGGCCUGGCCCAGCAGAGCACAGGGACGGGAAAGUCUGGGCCCGUGGAUCCUGAGGGGGCUUCUCACACACAGACACACACACACACACACACACACACACACACACAGAGAGAGAGUCUCAAAAUUUCUAAAAAAAAAACCCAAAAAAACCCAUUAAACAACCACAAAACUGUCCAUAAAACCGUAUUCAUAAACAUCACACAAAAAGUAAGGAAAUUUGUGUUUGGUAGAUGAUUUCUUUUUUGUAACAAUGAUUCUUGGCAAUAAAUCUCAUACUGUUGGAAAG